UACGGAGGGUGCAAGCGUUAUCCGGAUUUACUGGGUUUAAAGGGUGUGUAGGCGGGCUUUUAAGUCAGUGGUGAAAUCUCCGGGCUCAACCCGGAAACUGCCAUUGAUACUAUUAGUCUUGAAUUUUGUUGAGGUAGGCGGAAUAAGUCAUGUAGCGGUGAAAUGCUUAGAUAUGACUUAGAACACCAAUUGCGAAGGCAGCUUGCUAAACAAACAUUGACGCUGAGGCACGAAAGCGUGGGGAUCAAACAGG
rnacentral:rRNA from 1 species